rnacentral:rRNA from 1 species
AUGCCUACUCUAUAUUGGAGCCCGUGUGCAUGCCAUUGCUUGGACCUAAUAUUCGAAGAUAUAGGAAAGUUGAAGGCAUUUAAGAAGCCUAUUGCAGGGGCUAGACGUGUCACAACUUUCAUCUAUAGACAUGGAAGACUUCUUAGUCUAAUGAGGAAGGCCACUGGUGGGGAUCUUGUGAGACCAGCAGCAACUCGUUUUGCCACAGCCAUCCUCACACUUAGGAGUUUGGUCAAGAACAAGGCUGCAUUGAGGAGUUUAUUUACAUCUGCUGAAUGGGUUGGAAACAAGUUAAAAACACAAGUUGGCUUGAAUGUGCAAGAGAUUAUACUUUCAACGGAGUGGUGGAGCGCAAUUGAGGACUGCCUUAGAGCUUCAACUCCACUUCUUAGAGUUCUUAGAGUAGAGGAUGGUGAUGAGAAGCCUGCCAUGCCAGAGAUUAAAGCACUUAUGAUUUAUGCAAAGGAGAGGAUCAAUCUAGGUUUCCCUCAACAAAACAAGCAACCAUUGCUCAAGAAGAUCUUGGCCAUUGUUGACAAGCGUUGGGAGAAUCAAAUGGAUCAUCCAUUGUACGGGGCUGCUCUAUUUUUGAACCUAGGAAGGUUCGUUCCUAUUGUAAGCAGAAAUGAUGAUGCCUUAGUUGGGGAGCUUAGGAGUUGCUUUAGUGAUGUGCUUGCAAAAAUGGUACCGGAUGUCAAUGUUUGA